UCUCGCUUCGACUUCUCGGGAUUUCUUGUUAGCUGAAGUUUUGUUUUCUUCCACUAAUUCGAUCUUCGAAAGGUCUCAGAGCUCCAAGUAACUCAGUAAGCUCGGUUUUCUUCUAUUCUCUUGGAUACUUGCUUACACAUUCCUUUUUUUUGUGUUAAAUUUGUUGUUUUGUUGUGUUAUAUGGAUCGAUGAGAGUCACAGACUUUGAAUUGAAAAAUGAAAAUUAGUUUUUUUUUCUGUGCUACAAAAAUGGGCGGAGACUGCAAGCAAGAGGGAAUGAAGCGACUCGAGUCACGAAGAGUCCUGUGACUUGCGAGAGGUGACAUGUAACUAUGAGAAAUUGAAAUAUUUGAUUAUCGAGUAAAUAACAUUGAGUUCCCUAUAUUUUUAUUUUUAGUAAAUAACGAUACAUUAGUUUCAGUUUAUUUCAAAUAGGUUCCUCAUCCUUUGCCAGUGACCAAGUUGUGCAACCCUAACAUCCACAGCACCUCUUUUCGCUUCAAUCAUGACCGGAGCAUCAGAGCUUGAGUCUAUCCUUUUAUGUUCAUCUCCGUCUUGUUCUUCAUCCAUUUUUGCAUCUUCUACAUGAAUGGCUUCUGGUUCUUUGGUUUGAUUUUCUUCUGUGCUGCCUUUUGGUUCUCUCCCUUCGCCGACUUGUUCAGCCACUUUCGUAGUUUCAAUUCUGGAGCUCUGAAGGGGGCCAGUCAAUGAAGCUGUAGCUGAGUCCAUCAAUGCUGAUUCCUCAGUUUUUAUUUCCCCUGAUUCUUGUGGUUGUUGCUCUCCUUCGAGGUUAAUCUUUGCUUUUUGUGGAGUUUCUGUGGUUCCUUAUUGCUCAAAAAUUUUUGGCGCAAACUCAUCUCCAGUUUGAACUGGUGUGUAUGGGCGCUCAAUGAGAUCUGCUUCAGUUGUUGCAUAAGAGCUUUUCUCUAACUCACUAGUUUCUUGAAUGAUUUUGCUGUCUGUUGCAAACCCCCUUAUGCUUUCUUUUUGUGACAUCGCCAUACUCGAUUCUUGAUAAAAUUAAAAGUAAAGCUGCUCAAAUUGUGAAAAAUAAAAGAAAAACCGAAAUGUCUAAUUAAUAUCUGCAAGCAAAAUGGCUUUCAUAAUUUAGCUGCAUUCUUGUCCUACUAAGUUAUGUUU
rnacentral:lncRNA from 1 species